UGAGGAAUAUUGGACAAUGGACGAGAGUCUGAUCCAGCCAUGCCGCGUGCAGGAAGACAGCCCUAUGGGUCGUAAACUGCUUUUAUACGGGAAGAAACACCCCCUCGUGAGGGGGCUUGACGGUACCGUAUGAAUAAGGACCGGCUAACUCCGUGCCAGCAGCCGCGGUAAUACGGAGGGUCCGAGCGUUAUCCGGAAUCAUUGGGUUUAAAGGGUCCGUAGGCGGACAAUUAAGUCAGUGGUGAAAGUCUGCAGCUCAACUGUAGAAUUGCCAUUGAUACUGGUUGUCUUGAAUCGUUGUGAAGUGGCUAGAAUAUGUGGUGUAGCGGUGAAAUGCUUAGAUAUCACAUAGAAUACCGAUUGCGAAGGCAGGUCACUAACAACGUAUUGACGCUGAUGGACGAAAGCGUGGGGAGCGAACAGG
rnacentral:rRNA from 2 species